GAUGAACGCUGACAGAAUGCUUAACACAUGCAAGUCUUUGGCGAAGCUGUGCUUGCACAGCCUAGCCAAGGCGGACGGGUGAGUAACGCGUAAGGAACUUGCCCUGCAGUCAGGGAUAACAGACGGAAACGACUGAUAAGACCUGGUAAAGUCAGGCGGACUCAUGUCCAGCCUGAUGAAAAGAGAUGCUGCAGGAGAGCCUUGCGUCCUAUUAGCUUGUUGGUGGGGUAACGGCCCACCAAGGCGAUGAUAGGUAGCCGGCCUGAGAGGGUGGACGGCCACAAGGGGACUGAGAUACGGCCCUUACUCCUACGGGAGGCAGCAAUGGGGAAUAUUGGACAAUGGGGGCAACCCUGAUCCAGCAAUUCUGUGUGCACGAUGAAGGUUUUCGGAUUGUAAAGUGCUUUCAGCAGGGAAGAAAAAAAUGACGGUACCUGCAGAAGAAGCGACGGCUAAAUACGUG
rnacentral:rRNA from 1 species